rnacentral:rRNA from 1 species
AUUGAACGCUGGCGGCAUGCCUUACACAUGCAAGUCGAACGGCAGCACGGGUGCUUGCACCUGGUGGCGAGUGGCGAACGGGUGAGUAAUACAUCGGAACGUACCUUAUCGUGGGGGAUAACGCAGCGAAAGCUGUGCUAAUACCGCAUACGCCCUGAGGGGGAAAGCGGGGGAUCGCAAGACCUCGCGCGAUUAGAGCGGCCGAUGCCUGAUUAGCUUGUUGGUGGGGUAAAAGCCCACCAAGGCGACGAUCAGUAGCUGGUCUGAGAGGACGAUCAGCCACACUGGGACUGAGACACGGCCCAGACUCCUACGGGAGGCAGCAGUGGGGAAUUUUGGACAAUGGGGGCAACCCUGAGCCAGCAAUGCCGCGUGAGUGAAGAAGGCCUUCGGGUUGUAAAGCUCUUUUGUCAGGGAAGAGACACCGGCUCUAACACAGUCCGGGAAUGACGGUACCUGAAGAAUAAGCACCGGCUAACUACGUGCCAGCAGCCGCGGUAA